rnacentral:rRNA from 1 species
UACGAAGGGGGCUAGCGUUGCUCGGAAUCACUGGGCGUAAAGCGCACGUAGGCGGAUCUUUAAGUCAGGGGUGAAAUCCUGGAGCUCAACUCCAGAACUGCCUUUGAUACUGGGGAUCUCGAGUCCGGAAGAGGUGAGUGGAACUCCGAGUGUAGAGGUGAAAUUCGUAGAUAUUGGGAAGAACACCGGUGGCGAAGGCGGCUACUCUGGACCGAGACUGACGCUGAGGCGCGAAAAGCGUGGGGAGCAAACAGGG